ensembl:lncRNA
CAAUUCUCAGCCUUUAGGUUCUGGCUCUGGAGACAGCCUGUCCUCCCGGUAUCGCCGGCGCCGCUGUACCCCCGCUGUAGACUAGCGGAUUGCAGGUUGAAGGCAGGGUGAGUGGUGCCGGAGGACAGACCUCGCCAUUCGAUCGUAUUUAGAAGAUAGCCACCCACUCGGAAGGUGAGUAAAGACUUGUCUGCAGCUUUAUACAAUGAAAUGUUCUCAAGCCUGCUGGAGAGUGGACAGAACGGACGGUGUGCCCAGCACCCACAUUUGAAUGUUGUUAGUGUCUUGUUAAUUUUCUUUUCCUGUUUUGGUAGGUGUGUCCCCUUAAAAAAUAUUUUGAUUAUUUCUGUUUUUGUUGAAAUACAUGGGAAUAUAUUCCAAAUAUCAUGGCACUUUCUCCUAAAAUGUGUAGAGCGUCU